rnacentral:tRNA from 1 species
GUCGAUAUGUCCGAGUGAUUACCAAGACAGACUUAAAAUCUGUUGGGCUUCGCCCAUGCAGGUUUGAACCCUGUUGUCGACG